rnacentral:misc_RNA from 1 species
UUGAGAGAAGCUCACCCGAGA